GACGAACGCUGGCGGCGUGCUUAACACAUGCAAGUCGAACGGACAGGCCCUGCUUUUGUGGGGUGCUCGAGUGGCGAACGGGUGAGUAACACGUGAGUAACCUGCCCUUGACUUUGGGAUAAAUUCAGGAAACUGGGGCUCAUACCGGAUAGGAGCUCCUGCUGCAUGGUGGGGGUUGGAAAGUUUCGGCGGUUGGGGAUGGACUCGCGGCUUAUCAGCUUGUUGGUGGGGUAGUGGCUUACCAAGGCUUUGACGGGUAGCCGGCCUGAGAGGGUGACCGGCCACAUGGGGACUGAGAUACGGCCCAGACUCCUACGGGAGGCAGCAGUGGGGAAUAUUGCACAAUGGGCGGAAGCCUGAUGCAGCAACGCCGCGUGCGGGAUGACGGCCUUCGGGUUGAAAACCGCUGUCGCCUGUGACGAAGCGUGAGUGACGGUAAUGGGUAAAGAAGCACCGGCUAACUACGUG
rnacentral:rRNA from 1 species